GGGCCGUUAGCUCAAUUGGCAGAGCACCGGUCUCCAAAACCGGGGGUUGGAGGUUCGAGUCCUUCACGGCCCGCCA
rnacentral:tRNA from 2 species